rnacentral:lncRNA from 1 species
UACCUCUAGAUGGAUCAAGCAUAAUAUGCUCAAAGCAUCAAUUUUCAAAAUAUAAGAUUUUCAAUUAUAACCAAAAUAUUUUGAUAAAUACAUGAUGUAAAAUAUGUUUAUGAUCAUAAAUUUUAAAAUAUGUAAUGCAAUUAAUUAAGAAAGAAUUUUCAAAUCAAUAUAGGUAAAUCAUCUGCUCCCUCUUUUAGCCUUUACUAUGGCUAUGAUCAGCUAGUGGAAAGCCUUGCAAGAGACGAACUCCUAACUACAAUAUGCGAUCAUUAGCAUAUGCUAAUGAUUUAGCAUCCCU